CUUACUGUGAGUUCACACCAGACGCGCUAGGGGCGGCAAAAACGCGCUCUUCGCGCGUAGUUAGAUGCUUGAACAUUUUGAGUUUACUCGCUGUAUUCGCGCGUGAAAGCCGCGCGUGAAAUUCUAGUCAUUCGAGGCAUUCACGCCGAAAUUCGCGUCAUGGGAGGGGUUUCUGCCAGGCCGGAGAUCCAAGCAUUCACCCACUCCUUCAAGAGCUGCCCUGACGGCCGCCUGCAGCGCUACUUCCGGCCGGCCUCAGUUAGAUGACCGUGACGGUGGGAGUAUUUCCUUCGAGGACUGCAGAGCGCCUGUCUUUCGGUCUCCGAUAUCUUACCACUGGAGACUCCUCCCUUACAAUCACCACCAGCUUCUGUGUUGAUGUCUAAACAAAGUCUAAACUGUGAUUUACUAUGUUGUGCGCAAAGAAAAAUACCAAAACCUUU